UCUGGAGACGGGGCCGUGUCUUAGGGGU
rnacentral:piRNA from 1 species